AAGAUCAUUAAAGAGCUGCUAACUCUUAAAUAAUGUUAAACAUUUGAUCUUU
rnacentral:tRNA from 1 species